GAUGAACGCUGGCGGCGUGCCUAAUACAUGCAAGUCGAGCGAACGGACGAGAAGCUUGCUUCUCUGAUGUUAGCGGCGGACGGGUGAGUAACACGUGGAUAACCUACCUAUAAGACUGGGAUAACUUCGGGAAACCGGAGCUAAUACCGGAUAAUAUUUUGAACCGCAUGGUUCAAAAGUGAAAGACGGUCUUGCUGUCACUUAUAGAUGGAUCCGCGCUGCAUUAGCUAGUUGGUAAGGUAACGGCUUACCAAGGCAACGAUGCAUAGCCGACCUGAGAGGGUGAUCGGCCACACUGGAGCUGAGACACGGUCCAGACUCCUACGGGAGGCAGCAGUAGGGAAUCUUCCGCAAUGGGCGAAAGCCUGACGGAGCAACGCCCGUGAGUGAUGAAGGUCUUCGGAUCGUAAAACUCUGUUAUUAGGGAAGAACAUAUGUGUAAGUAACUGUGCACAUCUUGACGGUACCUAAUCAGAAAGCCACGGCUAACUACGUG
rnacentral:rRNA from 1 species